rnacentral:rRNA from 1 species
GACGAAGGGGGCUAGCGUUGUUCGGAAUUACUGGGCGUAAAGCGCGUGUAGGCGGUUGUCCAAGUUGGAUGUGAAAGCCUUGAGCUCAACUCAAGAAAUGCAUUCAGGACUGGGCGACUAGAGGACCGGAGAGGAUAGUGGAAUUCCCAGUGUAGUGGUGAAAUACGUAGAGAUUGGGAAGAACACCAGUGGCGAAGGCGGCUAUCUGGACGGUUUCUGACGCUAAGACGCGAAAGCGUGGGGAGCGAACAGG